AGAGGAGAACUCAGAUUGCCUGGAACUGGAGUUACAGGACUCAAGAAACGGCUCAGGGGUGAAGAACACACCCAUGGAACUCAGAACUGUCUGGCACCUUCUUCUGGCCCCAGUUGGCACUAGAUACGUAUGUGCUACACAUGAACAUACAGAAAUGUUCAUAAAAUAAAAACAUCUUUAAGAAGAGGAGAGAAGCCGGGCGGUGGUGGCACACGCCUUUAAUCCCAGCACUUGGGAGGCAGAGAGACAGAGGAUCUAGCGUCUGGUUAAUAUUGCUUGUGAACUUCGGCCCUGGGCUCUGAGAACAGAAGUGGAGGCUCUGACACGGGACAUGCCACAGGAGAUUUAUAUGUAUGAAUAUUUGUCUGCAAUUAUUGUGCACCAGGUGCAUGCCUAGUGCCCAAGGAAGCCAGAAGAGAGUAUUGGAGCCCUAGAACUGGAGUUACAGAUGGCUGUGAACCACCAUGUGGGUGCUGGGCGUGGAACCCAGGUC
rnacentral:lncRNA from 1 species